rnacentral:rRNA from 1 species
AACGCUAGCUACAGGCUUAACACAUGCAAGUCGAGGGGUAGCAGGGUAGCAAUACCGCUGACGACCGGCGCACGGGUGAGUAACACGUAUCCAACCUUCCCAUAACUCGGGGAUAGCCUUUCGAAAGAAAGAUUAAUACCCGAUAGUACUUUUUCAAGGCAUCUUGAAAAAGUUAAAGAUUUAUUGGUUAUGGAUGGGGAUGCGUUCCAUUAGAUAGUUGGUGAGGUAACGGCUCACCAAGUCUUCGAUGGAUAGGGGUUCUGAGAGGAAGGUCCCCCACAUUGGUACUGAGACACGGACCAAACUCCUACGGGAGGCAGCAGUGAGGAAUAUUGGUCAAUGGGCGAGAGCCUGAACCAGCCAAGUAGCGUGAAGGAUGAAGGUCCUAUGGAUUGUAAACUUCUUUUAUAGUAGAAUAAAGUGAACCACGUGUGGUUUUUUGUAUGUAUACUAUGAAUAAGGAUCGGCUAACUCCGUGCCAGCAGCCGCGGUAAUACGGAGGAUCCGAGCGUUAUCCGGAUUUAUUGGGUUUAAAGGGUGCGUAGGCGGAAUAAUAAGUCAGUUGUGAAAGUUUGCGGCUCAACCGUAAAAUUGCAGUUGAUACUGUUAUUCUUGAGUGUACAUAAGGUAGGCGGAAUUCGUGGUAUAGCGGUGAAAUGCUUAGAUAUCACGAAGAACUCCGAUUG